CAGCAGCCACGGGAACACGGAGGGUGCAAGCGUUAAUCGGAAUUACUGGGCGUAAAGCGCACGCAGGCGGUCUGACAAGUCAGAUGUGAAAUCCCCGGGCUUAACCUGGGAACUGCAUUUGAAACUGUCAGGCUGGAGUCUUGUAGAGGGGGGUGGAAUUCCAGGUGUAGCGGUGAAAUGCGUAGAGAUCUGGAGGAAUACCGGUGGCGAAGGCGGCCCCCUGGACAAAGACUGACGCUCAGGUGCGAAAGCGUGGGGAGCAAACAGGAUUAGAUACCGAGUAGUCCCUGUCUCUUAUACA
rnacentral:rRNA from 1 species